AGCAAAAUACGCGUACGCACUCAACAAUACCACCGUCUAUUUCUACAGCACAAACAGCCUGCAACGACAGCCCCAGUGCCAAUUGUUCUCUCUACAACGCCACGGUUAUAUGUGAUCUACACGGUGCUUAUUACCUCUGGGCAAGGAAACACUGUCCUCUGUUCUGUGGAUUUUGUCACGUAGCUUUAUGCAAAGAUGAACCAAGUGCUAACUGUGCUCUUUACAAUUCAACUGCAAUUUGUGAUGUGAAUGGUCCUUUCUACACUUGGGCCAGAAGGAAUUGUGAGAAGAGCUGCGGAUUCUGUCAAGGUUUUGUUUGUUUGUUGGUUAACGUCUCUUAGGAUAAUUUUUCACCAAUAUCGAGACGCUUCCACUUACUGAUGGAAAGUUGCAAAUUUUGACAUGCUCAGCAACUAGGGCAAUUCAGUA